GACGAACGCUGGCGGCGUGCUUAACACAUGCAAGUCGAACGGAAAGGCCCUGCUUUUGUGGGGUGCUCGAGUGGCGAACGGGUGAGUAACACGUGAGUAACCUGCCCUUGACUUUGGGAUAACUUCAGGAAACUGGGGCUAAUACCGGAUAGGAGCUCCUGCUGCAUGGUGGGGGUUGGAAAGUUUCGGCGGUUGUGGAUGGACUGGCGGCUUAUCAGCUUGUUGGUGGGGUAGUGGCUUACCAAGGCUUUGACGGGUAGCCGGCCUGAGAGGGUGACCGGCCACAUUGGGACUGAGAUACGGACCAGACGCCUACGGGAGGCAGCAGUGGGGAAUAUUGCACAAUGGGCGGAAGCCUGAUGCAGCAACGCCGCGUGCGGGAUGACGGCUUUCGGGUUGUAAACCGCUUUCGCCUGUGACGAAGCGUGAGUGACGGUAAUGGGUAAAGAAGCACCGGCUAACUACGUG
rnacentral:rRNA from 1 species